rnacentral:rRNA from 1 species
AUGAAACACUCCUACGGGAGGCAGCAGUGGGGAAUAUUGGACAAUGGGGGCAACCCUGAUCCAGCCAUGCCGCGUGAGUGAUGAAGGCCUUCGGGUUGUAAAGCUCUUUUGGCGGGGACGAUGAUGACGGUACCCGCAGAAUAAGCCCCGGCUAACUUCGUGCCAGCAGCCGCGGUAAGACGAAGGGGGCUAGCGUUGUUCGGAAUUACUGGGCGUAAAGCGCGUGUAGGCGGUUGUUCAAGUCGGGUGUGAAAGCCUUGAGCUCAACUCAAGAAAUGCACUCGGUACUGGAUGACUAGAGGACCGGAGAGGAUAGUGGAAUUCCCAGUGUAGUGGUGAAAUACGUAGAGAUUGGGAAGAACACCAGUGGCGAAGGCGGCUAUCUGGACGGUUUCUGACGCUAAGACGCGAAAGCGUGGGGAGCAAACAGGAUUAGAAACCCUAGUAGUCCGAAGUUC